CAUCCAAGUGCCAACCACCCACGACUCCCACCGUCAAAGAGAAGAGCAGUGAACCCAAGGGCCAUGGUGGAGAUUUUGGCUCGCAUCAGGGGACAGCCGUCGGCUGACGGCGCUAGGGUUUGCCGCCGCCCCUUCCCAUUGUCUUCCGGCUCCAUCGCCACAGAGAGAGGAUGGCGCUGCUCCUCAACCUCGCGUGGCGGCGCGCGUGCCCCGUCCUUGGGCUUGCUCCUCAGUAUCCGCACCAUUGGUGCCCUCUCCUGCCGCUGCAACACCGGCGAACUCCCAGGCAUCGACAACGCCCUACCCUACGUGGUGCAGUGCCAUCUCCGGCAAGAGGGCUGCCGCCCUACCCUCCCAUGUUCAUCCGCGCCGCCACUUAUUCGGGGAGGGUCGCCCUCUCGAUUCGCCACGCCUCCUUCCACCACGCAACUUCUGUAUAUCUCAUCUCCAUACUUCACCAGUCCGAGUGCGUUGAGAUGGCCGUUGUCACUGCUAGAUCAAGGACAUCAACGAUCUAUUUCUUCUGUCCGGCGAGCAUCUAAUUUCUUUUUCUUUUGCAUAGCCUGCGGAGAAGCUUUGUUCGCUGCCCUCUAUGCGAGCCCAUGGCGUACUAUUCUGGAGGUGGGGGAUUCCUCUGUGUUGCCCACUGCCAUGUCACCCAUUCAUUCAGUGUAGCGACGUUGUUUUACAUGGAUGGACAAACCAAGGUCAUGGUGAUGCUCACGAAUCUGAGGGGUACAGGUGAGUCUGAACCGGCACACGAGGUUGUCCCAGCCAGUGUGAGAUGCAACCUUAGUUUCAGAGUAGCAUGAAGCAUGAUACGUGAUUACUUGCUAUUUUCCUGGUACAUAACAUUUGGAAAAAAAGGCUCAUGUUUCAGAUAAAUAAUAAUGAUUUCUAUUCAUUCAACAAUUUUGGUGUAGAAUCUGUUCUUGUCAUAUUAAGCAUAUAAAUCAUAGGAGUUGCUUUAGAUUAUUAGAAUCAUCUUUAGCUGACCAAGUGUGCAGAUAAUAACACUUCUUUGCAUUGGAAUCUCUCAUCUAAAUUACUACCAGUUAGCUUAUGAAAUUCAUUGUUAACUAAAAUUGUAAAGUAGCUGAUUGCCUGAAUGUACUGUAGUAGUAGAUAGUAACGUUAUCUGACCACGAUAGUUGCUAGCAAUGCAAACCAUGCAUGUUAAGUAGAGACUCUACAUAGAUGAGUGUUAGUUACGUACGCUAGCACACAGUGCACACACAUGCAAGUGAUUGUUAGAUAUUUACACCACCACCAGUUUCCAGUUUGUCGGUUCCUUCUUCAUCACUCUUCUAUAAAUCUUCAAGUGAAGCCAAGGCUCUCCCUUCAACAGUUGUGAAACAAAAAGAAUGACACUGGUCUAUUUCGUUUAAUUUAUUUAUUGACAAUUCAAUCAUGUUUCAUAGAAUAUCAUGAAUUAAUUUCCCCUUGCACAUCAUUUCUUUUUGUUAUGACUAGCAUGGUGUUUUUUUACUGCUGAGCGCUUUGGGAGAUGGAGAUCCGGAUACAGUGGCGGUGGUGGUGAUGACAGGGAAGCUAGGGUGAGCCUGAUCUAGCCGUUUGCAGCAACGAGAGCAGUUCAAGCAAGACAAGGCCAUGGCCUCCAAUGAGUUGCAGAAAAAUAGUUUUUUUACUGCUGAGCAUGUGGUCGGUGAGGUGGGGAUUGGCCGGUGCGCCAUCAAGCCCUCCAGGGGGACGACGCCAACGCACUAGCACCGAUGGUCUCCCUUCCGAUGCCAUCAAGUUUCCCUGCUGACGCCACCGAUUCUCACUGCCUCCGCCGCCACCCGAAGCUGGAUCUGGACCUUCUCCUCAACUCAGGUAAACAAGCCAUAUAUUUCCAAUGGAUGAGAUCUGAGAUGAUUUGAUCGUUGAUUGGUGCUUCAAGGGUUGCAAUAUAUAGCUGCCUAUCUGAUGACUGCUGCAGCCUGCAGGGUCUCACACGCUCUGGCCCCUGAUGCAUAUUGAUGCAACGCAAAAAAUAUAAGUGUCAGACAGAGAGCUAGGCAACAGAUGAAUGAUUAGACGUGAUUUUCAAGUAAUGGUGUAUUAAUGAUAUUAUAUAAGAGAAGAACGUUGUCAAUUUCAUAGGUAAAAGUGCAAAAAGCAAUGAAUGGUGCGCAAGUGCAUAUAAGUUUACUUAUCACUGGGUAUAAUUUCUUCAUCUAAUUUACUAAGCAGACUUGUCAUCCAUGAACUAAUUAUAGGAAAGAGAAACAACAGUUGAUGGAACUGGUAUGCUCAUACCUCAUGGUAACAUAUAGUGUUGACGAUUAUCUUAUUUAUCCGCAUACUUACUUUCUUGCCACCGUAUGCAUUAUCUGAAUCCUAAGCUAAUCUACGAGAGUGCGUUACUUGCUGUCUACUAUGAUUGGUGUGCACCUCAUAAAACAAGUAGUGCUGUCAUUUUUGUGCAAUGAGUACUGGUAUACCAAUCUGAUGAGCAGAGAUUAUGAAUCAUUUUUUUGUUGAUUUUCCUCUUUUGUGUGAUAGAAGCAGAAAAGAAUGUUACUCUGUAUUGAGAUCUAUGUCCAUGGGGUGAAUAAUUGGAUUUGAGUGGAAAGUGAGUAGCAACUUUCAGGCAUUGUGAACUCUCAUUUCAGAUGGCACGGUGAGGAACUUCCAUGUCAAGGCUCGAGGUCUUCCUCAACAACCUGGACGAAGAGGGUGGUGUCGCCGGCUGAGACUACAUAUUUUUCGUCGCCGCCCCGGUGACCCUCAUGACAGAGGAUCCCGAGGAAAAUAGAAAUCAGUUACUUCGCGUUCUUCAGCCUGUGCAGCACACACAUUUGUCCAAGAAGGCCUGAUCGAGCCGGCGGUGCAUGCUCGCAGAGAAUGCGGCAGUGCGAGGUCAGGUAGGAGAACAGCAUUAGCUUCAUUACUGUGUGCCCCGUCGUCAUGGUUGGCGUGACGCCUGCGACGAAGGUCCAGACCGGCGUCCCGCUCAUUCGCUCCUUGCUAUCUGGCGAGACUUUUCACGUGAAUAAAAGCAUCUAAAUUCUUUUCCCAUCGUGUUCUUCUGUAUCUCUUCUUGUGAUGUCUUGUCAAGUGUGAUGGUUUCAGGCAACCUGGCGAUGGUCCAGACGCUGAAACCUUGGCUUCCAUCACGCUGGUCCAGAUCAGCGAUCUGUGCCGCCAAGUUGACCGAGUCCUCAUCCAGCAGGCCAACAGGCAUGAUGCAACAACGGCAAUUAGCAAAUAUUUUGGGACAUGCGCACAUACAUGACGUGCCCAUGUUCUUGUUCUUUCUCCAUUUCUCCAUGACCCGCAUUCUCUAUUGACGCAAGCACUACUCAUAGCCAUCUAUUGCAAAACUGAUGCAUUUUUCUGCUGUUUCAAUUGCAGGUUUGCAGGAUAUUUACGAUUUUGGCAUCGCUCAUGUGUUACUAACAUACUAUAAGUUCACCGCCGCUAGAAAAUCCACCCGAUGCAGGUCUUUCAAGCAUUUAAUGGCCAGCCCAUCUUCUAGCAUGAGUACAUAUUACUGUAUUAGAACAAUUGUGAAGCAGAACCAAUUGAUGCAUGGACCUACAGAAAAUAGAAGUAUCCACUUAUAGUAUAUACAAACUAUUAAAGUUACGUGUGUUAUUACAAUGAACUUUAGAUAAUUACUAUCGAAAGUGGACAAUUUUUUGAAUAUGUAUUUCAAACAAACAAAAUAGUUAUGAGUAGGAAAGAAAUAUUCAUUGAUGUUACUUUUUGUGGUUAUAGUUUACUUAUUUUUCAUAGUUAGCUCCUUUCCUCCAUUGAUCCAUACUAGAAUUGUCCAGAGUUUCCUUUUCGUCAGUAAAAAUGUGAAUGAUGAAAGUUAUUUAGUGUAGAGAUGAAUCUACCAACUUCAGGAAAAUAGCUAUAAUAAUUCUAAAGCAGCAUUCUUGUGUAAGUUCUCAAACAAAACUAAACUCAUGAUACAUGUAUUUCUGAAGGGAGAAAUAAGGUUAUCUAUACUAUAUCAAAUGGCUAGAGGUGGUGUUCGAUGGUUUGUACUGUUUGGAAGUACAAUAUAAUCUCAAGAUCUCACCUUUUAUUAUUCUUUCUCCAUGUGUAGAGAGUAUACGGUUCUUCUCCAAGGUGAGUAGCAAACAUGUUUUCUCGCUUCUUGAUUCGAACCCUUGCCCCAAUUGUAACAAAGCAAAAGUCUGGUCUAAUGGCUCAUCUGAAUCUUCCUGUUGGUCUGAACGGACAUAGCAUUCUGAUUGACUAAAGAUGAAAAUCAAGUUUUGAUGCAGAGCUAUUUCAUGUACUGCAAAGCUUUCGCAUCAUUAUACAAAGCCUGUAGGAAUCAGCAGCCUUCCAAGAGCCCCCAGGACCACCGUUGCAUUGUAAUCGACCACGUCUAAGCUUCUGCACUGCCAACUUCCGUGCCAAUGACAUGUUUGUGCUCGCCGGGAUAUACAUCAUAAUGUUUGAAGGCGGUAAGUAACAUGCUCUCUUCUUUCACUUUGAUAUCUGAGCUACUCGACCACACUAUUGAUUGAUUGUGUCCCCAGCUUCCUCCAGCAAUGAUAAAUGGAUCUUGGUCAUCAGCAAUUGACUUUGCACAUACGGCCAAAGUGUAUUUUCUCUAAGCAAUUGGUUUUUUAUGCAAUUAAUUCUAUGGGUUGUCAUGUAGAUGGUGGCCUCUGUGGUUUGCAGGUUUAGGUCGUGUGAAUGUGUCAUGCAUAUCCGAGAAAAUGUAUAGCUUUUAAAGAACCACCUCACUGUAUGUAACAUUAUUAUGGAUAUUUAGAUUAUCAUGUGUUUAUAGAACAGAUUAACCUAAUCUAUUAUGUACAAAUGUUAUAACGUGUUUAAUAUCAACAAUAAUUUGUCAGUAUACAUGACACAUAUUUGUUGUGUUGCACGAUAUUUGUAGCGCUGAAAUAAUUAUGGUUCUUUUAGUUCCAACGAGAAGGAUGAUACGUCUCCGACGUAUCGAUAAUUUCUUAUGUUCCAUGCCACAUUAUUGAUGUUAUCUACAUGUUUUAUGCACACUUUAUGUCAUAUUCGUGCAUUUUCUGGAACUAACCUAUUAACAAGAUGCCGAAGUGCCAGUUGCUGUUUUCUGCUGUUUUUGGUUUCAGAAAUCCUAGUAAGGAAAUAUUCUCGGAAUUGGACGAAAUCAACGCCCAGGGGCCUAUUUUGCCACGAAUCUUCCAGAAGUCCGAAGACGAAACGAAGUGGGGCCACAGGGUGCCCAAACCCUAGGGCGGCGCGGCCCCCCCCUUGGCCGCGCCGGCCUAUGGUGUGGGGCCCCUGUGCCCCCUCCUGACUUGCCCUUCCGCCUACUAAAAGCCUCCGUGACGAAACCCCCAGUACCGAGAGCCACGAUACGGAAAACCUUCCAGAGACACCGCCAACGCCGAUCCCAUCUCGGGGGAUCCAGGAGAUCGCCUCCGGCACCCUGCCGGAGAGGGGAAUCAUCUCCCGGAGGACUCUACGCCGCCAUGGUUGCCUCCGGUGUGAUGUGUGAGUAGUCUACCCCUGGACUAUGGGUCCAUAGCAGUAGCUAGAUGGUUGUCUUCUCCCCAUUGUGCUAUCAUUGUCGGAUCUUGUGAGCUGCCUAACAUGAUCAAGAUCAUCUAUCUGUAAUUCUAUAUGUUGCGUUUGUUGGGAUCCGAUGAAUAGAGAAUACUUGUUAUGUUGAUUAUCAAAGCUAUGUCUAUGUGUUGUU